UGGGGAAUUUUGGACAAUGGGCGCAAGCCUGAUCCAGCCAUGCCGCGUGCAGGAUGAAGGCCCUCGGGUUGUAAACUGCUUUUGUACGGAACGAAAAGCCUCUUUCUAAUAAAGAGGGGUGAUGACGGUACCGUAAGAAUAAGCACCGGCUAACUACGUGCCAGCAGCCGCGGUAAUACGUAGGGUGCGAGCGUUAAUCGGAGUUACUGGGCGUAAAGCGUGCGCAGGCGGUCUUGCAAGACAGUGGUGAAAUCCCCGGGCUCAACCUGGGAGCUGCCAUUGUGACUGCAAGGCUGGAGUACGGCAGAGGGGGAUGGAAUUCCGCGUGUCGCAGUUAAAUGCUUAGAUAUGCGGAGUAACACCGAUGGCGAAGGCAGUCCCCUGGGCCUGUACUGACGCUCAUGCACGAAAGCGUGGGGAGCAAACA
rnacentral:rRNA from 1 species